GCCUUGGUAGCUUAAAGGUAAAGCACUCCUGUGAAGAAGGAGCGAGGGUGAUUCGAUUUCACCUCAGGGCA
rnacentral:tRNA from 1 species